CGUCUAUAUACGUAUAGCAUAUCAAUAAGCGGAGGAAAAGAAACUAACUAGGAUUCCCUCAGUAACGGCGAGUGAAGCGGGAAGAGCUCAAAUUUGAAAUCUUCAAGGUUCUACCUUGACGAAUUGUAGUUUAAAGAAGUGUUUUCUGUUGGAGUUUUGGUAAAAGUUCUUUGGAAUAGGACAUCAUAGAGGGUGAGAAUCCCGUAUUUGACCAUUAUUUCCAACUUUGUGAUACACUUUCAAAGAGUCGGAUUGUUUGGGAAUGCAGUCCAAAAUGGGUGGUAAAUUUCAUCUAAAGCUAAAUACUGGCGAGAGACCGAUAGCGAACAAGUACCGUGAGGGAAAGAUGAAAAGAACUUUGAAAAGAGAGUUAAACAGUACGUGAAAUUGUCAAAAGGGAAGCGUUUGACACCAGUGUUGUUUUCUCGAAAAUCAAUUAAAAAUGGUGGGAUUCUGUGUUGUAUUGACUUUAUCAGCUUUCUGCACUUUUUUCCUAUCUUUUUUAAUGCACUUUUCGUUUAACAAGUCAACAUCAAUUUCUUUUGUGUAAAAGGGUCAUUGGAAGGUGGCUUUCUUUUCGGAGAAAGUGUUUAUAGCCUUUGACUUCUGCAGUCGGAGAGAUUGAGGUCUGCAGCGUAGAUCCUUCGGGGUUAGAUGACAUUUGUGCUAAGUUAUAGCCUUUCAUAGACAACUUGUUGACUAUGAUCAGUCAUGUAGCUUACUCGCUUAUGUCAUUUUACCUACGCUUAGGAUGUUGACGAUCAGCUGAGCGCG
rnacentral:rRNA from 1 species